rnacentral:lncRNA from 1 species
UUAAAUUUUAUCUAAAAUUUGUCCAGGAUUUUAUUAGGAUUCAUUAGGAUUGAUUUAGGAUUUAAGGUUUUAUUAAGAUUUAUUAGGAUUAAUCUAGGAUUUAAGAUUUUAUUAGAAUUUCAUUAGUUUUUGACUUAGGAUUUAAUUAAGGUCUAAUAAGUUUUCAACUAGGAUUUUAAUUAAUAUUUGACCUAAAAUU